rnacentral:lncRNA from 14 species
GGGGCCGAGGGGGAGGAAGAGACUGAAAAAGUUUCUAAACCUUGCUUCUCCACGAUGAUUGGCCAAGUCAGACGCGUCCCAAGCGCGACAGCCAAUGGGAGGCACGGGCCGAGCGGUUCCGAAAGGGCUGGUCGGCAAGAAAGGCCUGCUAGCCCGCGCCUCCCUGGGAUCUUCGCCGCCCGAGCUGGACAUCAUGCCACAGGAAGAGUGAGCUCUUGCCCAUUUUACCAUGGAGGACUCAGGAAAGACUUUUGGAUCAGAGGAGGAAGAAACAAACUAUUGGAGAGACCUGGCCAUGACCUACAAGCAGAGGGCAGAGAAUACUCAGGAGGAACUCCGAGAAUUCCAGGAAGGAAGCCGGGAAUAUGAAGCUGAAUUGGAGACUCAGCUGCAGCAAGCUGAAACCAGAAACCGGGACCUAUUAUCAGAGAAUAACCGCCUUCGAAUGGAGCUGGAGUCUGUGAAGGAGAAGUUUGAAAUGCAGCAUUCAGAGGGUUACCGGCAGAUCUCGGCCUUGGAGGAUGACCUGGCUCAUACAAAAGCCAUUAAAGACCAACUGCAGAAAUACAUCAGGGAGCUGGAACAAGCCAAUGAUGACCUGGAAAGAGCCAAACGGUAGGUGGGGCAAGGGAAGUUUUGUGAGGUGACAACCACAGACUUGAGUGUGAAGAACUCAGUGCUGAGCAUGACAAAGCUCUAAUGGCUCAUGGGCCAGAUGCAGUAUGUUUGCCAUUUCUGUUGUUCUGCCUGCCUUCCUAAAGAUGAGAGUAUUUUGUUUUUGUUCUCCUCCUCCAGUUUAAAAGAUUGCC